UGGUUCUGGCAUCGAUGAAGAACGCAGCGAAAUGCGAUAAGUAAUGCGAAUUGCAGAUUUUAGUGAGUCAUCGAAUCUUUGAACGCACAUUGCGCCCUUUGGUAUUCCGAAGGGCAUGCCUGUUCGAGCGUCAUUAUCAACCCUCAAGCUCUGGCUUGGUGUUGGGCACUGGCGGUGAAUGUCUUCACCACCGGCCCGAAAGGCAAUGACGGCGUCUGACGGAAGCCUGGUACAAUGAGUCUGCAAAGGCACGUACUGUGGUCGACCGUGGGACACGGCCUUAUUGAAUAUUUCUUCACAAGGUUGACCUCGGAUCAGGUAGGAAUACCCGCUGA
rnacentral:misc_RNA from 1 species